rnacentral:rRNA from 1 species
GACGAACGCUGGCGGCGUGCUUAACACAUGCAAGUCGAGCGGUAAGGCUCCUUCGGGAGUACACGAGCGACGAACGGGUGAGUAACACGUGAGCAAUCUGCCCUUCUCUUCGGAAUAAGCGUUGGAAACGACGUCUAAUGCCGAAUACGACCUCCUUUCGCAUGAUCGGAGGUGGAAAGCUCCGGCGGAGAAGGAUGAGCUCGCGGCCUAUCAGCUAGUUGGGUGGGUAAUGGCCCACCAAGGCGACGACGGGUAGCCGGCCUGAGAGGGUGACCGGCCACACUGGGACUGAGACACGGCCCAGACUCCUACGGGAGGCAGCAGUGGGGAAUAUUGGACAAUGGGCGAAAGCCUGAUCCAGCAACGCCGCGUGAGGGAUGACGGCCUGG